rnacentral:rRNA from 1 species
AUUGAACGCUGGCGGCAUGCCUUACACAUGCAAGUCGAACGGCAGCACGGGAGCAAUCCUGGUGGCGAGUGGCGAACGGGUGAGUAAAGUAUCGGAACGUGCCCAACCGUGGGGGAUAACGUAGCGAAAGUUACGCUAAUACCGCAUACGAUCUAUGGAUGAAAGCGGGGGAUCGCAAGACCUCGCGCGAUUGGAGCGGCCGAUAUCAGAUUAGGUAGUUGGUGGGGUAAAGGCUCACCAAGCCGACGAUCUGUAGCUGGUCUGAGAGGACGACCAGCCACACUGGGACUGAGACACGGCCCAGACUCCUACGGGAGGCAGCAGUGGGGAAUUUUGGACAAUGGGCGAAAGCCUGAUCCAGCCAUGCCGCGUGCAGGAUGAAGGCCUUCGGGUUGUAAACUGCUUUUGUACGGAACGAAAAGGUUUGGCCUAAUAAGCUGAGCUCAUGACGGUACCGUAAGAAUAAGCACUGGCUAACUACGUGCCAGCCGCCGCUGUAA